rnacentral:rRNA from 1 species
GACAGAGGGUGCAACCGUUGCUCGGAAUUACUGGGCGUAAAGCGCGUGUAGGUGGAUUGGUGUGUCAGAUGUGAAAUCCCUGGGCUCAACCCGGGAACUGCACCUGAAACUACCAGUCUUGAGUGGUGGAGAGGGAAGUGGAAUUCCUGGUGUAGAGGUGAAAUGCGUAGAUAUCAGGAGGAACACCUGUGGUGUAGACAGCUUACUGGACCACUUCUGACGCUGAGACACGAAAGCGUGGGUAGCAAACAGG